rnacentral:rRNA from 1 species
GACAGAGGUGCCAAGCGUUAGGCGGAAUCACUGGGCUUAAAGCGUGUGUAGGCGGAUCGUUAAGUGCCUUGUGAAAUCCCACGGCUUAACCGUGGAACUGCUCGGCAUACUGGCGGUCUUGAGCAACCUAGGGGCGAGCGGAACAAAUGGUGGAGCGGUGAAAUGCGUAGAUAUCAUUUGGAACGCCAAUGGUGAAAACAGCUCGCUGGGGGUUUGCUGACGCUGAGACACGAAAGCGUGGGGAGCAAACAGGG